rnacentral:rRNA from 1 species
AGUAGGCGUAUUGGGAAAUGCGCCUGGACCUAAA